ACGAGCCCGCGGGAUCCUCGGAGAGUAUGGAACCCUUCCCCUCCGCUCUCAGCCGGAGGCCAGCUGCGUCCAGCCGGGCUCGGUCUUCUGAACACCGAUUUCAAAUCAGGUCCUCGGGGCCCAGCGUCACUUAGGGAAGUGGUGGCAUUUUGUGGUUGCUGCUAAAUCACGGAGAGCAGCCUUGGCGCUGCCGGUCCCAACUUGAUCCAAGGAGCCUUGAGAAGGAGAUGAGAUUCAGUACCAGGGGCCGGCCGUGGCUCCCAUCCUCCGGAAUCUGCAAAAUGGCUACUUCUUCAGAAAUAAUGGGGAGAGGGAUGGCAAGAGGCCAGAGAUCAAGGCCCUCGAGUAUUAACUUGAGCAUUUGGGCACAAAAUAGACACUUUUGGAUUUUCCCGUCUUUUCCAACACCAAGGAUGAGAUUAUCAAAAGAUGUGUUAAAUUAAUUUGUACCGGCCGGGCGCGGUGGCUUACGCCUGUAAUCCCAACACUUUGGGAGGCCGAGGCGGGCGAAUCACAAGGUCAUGAGUUCGAAACCAGCCUGGCCAAUAUGGUGAAACCCCCGUCUCUACUAAAAAUACAGAAAUUAGCCGGGAGUGGUGGCGUACGCCUGUAGUCCCAGCUACUCUGGAGGCUAAGGCAGGAGAAUCGCUUGAAUCCGGGAGGUGGAGGUCGCAGUGAGCCGAGACCGGGCCACUGCACUCCAGCCUGGGAGACAGAGCGAGACUCUGUCUCAAGAAAAAAAAAAAAUCAAUUUGUACCAUUCCUUGCCCCACCCUGCCGAACUUAUUGAAAGAGCAUCGCUUUCCUCACUUUUCUCCUCUAACAGAAAAGCACUUAGAUGAAGCUACAGGGAGCCAGAAUUCUUUUGACUUGGUGGGUACCGGAGGAUUGGAAGAAUCUAGAUUGAGUAUUCCUUGGCCUUUGGGGAGCUUGCUCUAUGCAAAGUCACCCAGGAAAUGAUACUCCCCCCACUGUGAAACACUAGCUAGAGAUGAUAGACAAAAAGCACAUUUGUUGUAAUCUCCCUUUGACGGGAUUCAGGUUGGGAUAGAUGUCGAAGCAGCUGCUUCUAGGUAGUCAACGAAGAUGUCAACUAGUAAAUGACAACAGACAAGGAUGAGCACAGCAGAGCUGUACGAUUCUAGAUAUCAAAAAGAGCAAGCAGUCUGUUGUACUCACCAUCGCAUCCUCAGCAGCUGCCCAGUGCCCGGUUUUAACUUAGUGCUCAGUGUAUGUGUCAGGUUUGAAUCCCAAUUCUGAUACUACCUGUGCUACUCUCUUCACCUCUCUGAGUCUGUAAAGGAUUAUUUAAGAAUUAAAUGAAACAACAUACAGAAAAGUGUCCUGCAUGUAUAUUUAGUGCCUAACAAAUAUUGGUUGAACGUCGAAAGUGGCAAGGAGGCUCAGUAUGUUCUUAUACGCUUUGCCUCCCUUCUCCUGAGCAAGCAUGUCCUUGCCCAGCUCAUCUGCUUCUCUCACCACUUUUGCCCUCACUCCCUCCACCUGUCCUCCAAAUGACUCAAAAUAAUCUGCACUAUUUAUUAUGCAUCUACUAUGUUCCAAGACAAUGAGGGUCAGCUGAGCCCGCAUUGCAGGAUGGAAAUUUCCAACUAUGUUCUGUUUACAGCUAAUGAUAUUUGCACCUAAUGCAAAGGUUUACAGACUUUACUGUUAUAGAAUCAUUUGGAAUACCUGUUGAAGAUGCAGACACCCACCUUACCAUACCUCCUAUUGCUAAGAUUACGCUUGAAAGGAUCUGAGGUAGGGGCUCUGGAUCUGCAUUUUUUAUUUUUUACAUCUCUAUACAUUAUUUUACAUAAAUGUAUAAAUGGAGUCAUGACAUACAUAUUGAAUUUUUCACUUACAAAAAUUUUUAUUCCGUGUAUUCCCUCUUCUCUUCCCCUACAUUAACAACCUAGUACAUUUCUUUAAAUAUUCUUGUAAUAGUGUAUAUCUGCACUUACAUAAAAUAACAUGUAAUUGUAUAAAAACAAUACAUAUUCAUGCAGAUAUGCAUACACUCUAAUACUGAGCUUUGGCAUUGUCUUGAAAAAGUUAGAUCAUAUGUAUAUUUUUCUGCAGCUGUUUUUCUCAAUACGUAUGGCAGAAUUUCUCAGCAAGAUGUGCAUUGUCAGAGAGACAGUCUUAAGGUUUCUUCCCCUAGUAUGCCACAUAAAUAUUAUCACUUUUUAUGUGUAGCAUGCCUAUAGAGUGAAAAGGGAAGCAUGGCCUAAUGGAAACCAUAUAUCUGAUUCAUUAUUCUUAACAACUGCAAAAAUCAGCAUAUGUAAAGGAUCUCAGGUGAUUUUUUUUUUUUUUUUUUUUGAGACCGAGUCUUACUCUGUCACCCAGGCUGGAGUGCAGUGGCACAAUCGUGGCUCACUACAACCUCCACCUCCCUUGUUUAAGCAAUUCUCCUGCCUCAGCCUCCCGAGUAGCUGGGAUUACAGGCAUGCACCACCACACCCGGCUAAUUUUUGUAUUUUUAGUAGAGAUAGGGUUUCACUUUGUUUGCCAGGCUGGUCUCGAACUCCUGACCUCAAAUGAUCCAGGCCACCUCUGCCUCCCAAAGUGCUGGGAUUACAGGCAUGAGCCACCAUGCUUGGCCAACCUGAGAUGACUUUGGUGGUGGCUGAUCACACUUUUGGGAACACUGAUAUGAGGACAUGCAGACAUAUGGUCCAUGGGUGAGGGUCUUAAUCUGUUUGUGUUGCUAUAAAGGAAUACGGGAGGCUGGAUAAUGUAUGAAGAAAAGAGGAUUAUUUGACUCAUGGUUCUGCAGGCUGUCAGCUUCAGAUGAGGGCCUUAUGCUGCUUCCACUCAUGCAGAAGGCAAAGGGGAGACUUCGUGCAGAGAUCACAUGGCUACAGUGCAAGAUGGGGCAUCAGGGGAGAGAAAGGGAGAAGCUGACUCUCGGUUCUUUUGAACAACCUGUUCUCAAGGAUGAGAACUCACUCUCAGGAGAAUAGCACCAAGCCAUUUGUGAGGAAUUCAUCCAUAUGGCCCAAACACCUCCCACCAGGCCCCAACUCCAGCACUGGGACUCAUAUUUCAACAUGACACUUUGCAGGUCCAAAGCCAUACCCAAACCAUAGCAGGGAGCUUAUUAAUUCAUUAGCCUCCAUGAAAUUUAGAAUUAUAGAAUGUGCGAGCUGAGAAGGAACCUCAGCCUCUCUCAUGAUUGAAGAAACUGGAGUUUGGACAGGUUAAGUAAUUUGUCUCAGACACCAAGGAAGUGAAUGGGGAAACAGGGAACAGAACUCAGGUCUCUUGACUAAUGUUUUAGACAUUAAAUAAAUAGGUUAUUAAAUGAAUAGAAUUAUUCUAUAUGAAUAAUUUCAUAUAGAAGGAAGAAAUGCUAUGUGCAAGGUAGAGAGAAAUUAUACAAGAAGCCUCAUUUGGUGCAGGAGUUCAUUUUACGGAAGGUACCUCCUAAAUUUGGUAGAACAAAGACUCAAAACCAGUCUAUGCCCUCUCUCCUGCAAACCAACCGUUUGAUCUUGAACAUAUCAACUCACCUUUCUAACCAGAGUUUCUACUCUAGUACAUCAUUCAAGUAUUUCUUGAGCAACUAAAACAGUGAUGUUGUGGAUAAAGCAGUAAACCAGAGUGUGCCUCCCAUCAUCAUCAUGCUGCUUCUCCUCAGACUGACACUUUUAAUUGGUGAACCUAUUGAGCAGGGUCUAGAGUCUGAAUUCCUUGUUUUCUAAACUGCCUAGCUUAUAGCUGGGGAAUGCUAGGAAAAUGCCAAGUUAGAUAUUUACGUUUCUUGCCUCAAAAGGUUCACUGGAUUCUGGGUUCACUGAUGGAUUAGAACUGAAAUCCAUCAUCUCUUACAGUGGGUCUAGUCUCCAGAUUUGCUGCUGUGUCUGCUGAUACCCUCGACGCCCCAGCACCAGCCUAUCUGGCUCCCUAUUCUGCCACUGGCUACAUUUUCAGGCAAUAACAGAGGAGGUGCAGGCAUUGUGUGGUAGGCCAAAUAAUCCUCCCCUCCCCCAAAGAUGUCCAUGCUAUAAUCCCUAGAAUCUGUAAAUAUGUUACCUUACAUGGCAAAAGAGACUUUGCAGGUGUAAUUAAGGUUAAGAACCUUGAGAGGAGGGGAUUAUCCUGGAUUAUUCAAGUAGGCCCAAUGUAAUCACGAGUCCUUGAAAGUGGAAGAGGAAAGCAGAAGAGUUGCUGACUUUGAUGAUUGAGGAAGGGGUUCUUAAACUAGGGCAUGUGAGUGGCUUCUGAAGCUGGAAAGAACCCUCAGCUGACAGCCACCAAGGAAACAGAGAUUUCAGUCUUACAGACUCAAGGAACUACAUUCUACCAAUGAUCAAUGUACAAGGAAAUAGAUUUUCCCUCGAGCCUCCAGAAAGGAACCUAGCCUUGCUGACACUUUGAUUUUAGACUGGUGAAAUUCAUGCUGAACUUAUGACCUACAGAGUUGUAAAAUAAAUAAAUAAAUUUCUUGAUUGUGCAGAUUAUUUUGUUAAAAAAAGAAAAAAACCAAAUUUUUGUAUUAAGAUGCUAAAUUGGUAGUAAUUUGUUUCAGCAGACAGAAAAUCUAAUACAGAUGCUUCUUGAUUUACAAUGAGGCUAUACCCUGAUAAUCCCCAUCGUAAGGUGAAAAUGCA
rnacentral:lncRNA from 1 species